UCCAAAUUAAUUAUUAUUGAUAGAAUUUAAAAUCAUUCAAUUUAAUAAUUAUUAAUUAACAAAUUUAUAUUUAUAUAUAUGCAUGCAAAUUAAUUAAAUAUUUUUAUAACAAAAUGAUUAAAUAAACAUUUUUAAUUUCAUACCGCAAUAGAGCUUAAUUCAAUCUGAAUUUUUGGAUUCUUGAUUUUUCAAAACCUACAUCAAGUCAACAACACAAUAAUUGAAUUAGUGAAUUAAUUAAAACAUUAUAUAAAUUAUUUAUUUAAUCAAAUCAAUUUAUAAAUUAUUUAAAAAUAAUCAAUUAGAUAUUUAAUUAAAACAUUUAUAAACAGUAAAUUCAAUAAUGCAAAAUUUAAAAUCAUUCAAUUUAAUGCAAAAUUUUCAUUAUUUAAAACAAUAUGUUAAUUACUUAUAUAAUUAAUUAAAACUUCGUUUUAAUUAUUUUUAAAAAGUAAAUAAAAUAUUUAAUAAAUUAAUUAAAACAAAAUAAAAUAAUAUUUCAAGCAAAUUAAAUAAUAUUUCAUUUUCAUUAAAACAAAAUUAUUUCUUUCAAAUAAUUCAUUAAUAAUUGAUUUCAUGCAUAUUUAUUUCAUGUAAAUUAUUAGUUUCAUGUAAACUUAAUAAUUUAAAUUAAAUAAUUUAAAUAUAUAUGAUUCAAAAUUUAUUUUAAAAAUUAUAAUUUCAUAUAACCAUUCAUAAAAUAUAUCCAUUCAUCAAAUAUUAUUUGAUAUUAUAACCAUUUCAUUUUAUUAUUAUUUCCUUGAACAUGUAGGAAAUAUUACCGAGGUGUGUGGAAGUGGAGACCGGCGACGGAGACGUGACCGACAGGAGGAGACGACGACGAAGACGGGAGGAGGCGACGACGAUUAAGCGACUCUGUCGAUUACAGCAACCCAUAUACAUGAAUGGAAAUAGAAAUUUACUUCAAUCAAUGGAAUAAAUCAAACAUAAACAGAUAGGUAUAAAAAUUAUAAUAAACAAUCAAACAUAAACAGAUAGGUAUAAAAAACUUCAAUCAAACACAAACAUAAACAGAUAGGUAUAAAAAUUAUAAUAAAUCAGAUAAUCAAUCAAUGGAAAUUUACUUCAAUGCUGGAUUUUUUUUUUUUAAAAAUUGGAUCACAAACGAUGGGGUUCAUAGCUGGAUCCAUCCAUGUGUUGUAGAUUUGAAUUGGGUUGAUGAGAUAUGCAAAGCUCAAGGAAAGGUAAAUUCCAAUAUGAAAGAAGCUUUGAAGGUAAGAUCUUUGGUUUGUUUCAUGGUUGAAUUCUAUAAUUCUAUAGAAAUCUGUUUGUUUUUUGCUGAUUUUUUUUUACAGAUGGAUUGGGAGCUUUAAUUGGCGGAUUAGCCAUUAAUAAUAUUGAAUUUUUUCAGUUAAAUACUAUGGAUAUAUUAUCAGUACUAGAAUAUGAUGAAAACAAUGAUCAAAACCACAAGAUAAGUGCCAACAAUGAUGGAGUUUUAACCAGAAAAGGAAANNNNNNNNNNNNNNNNNNNNNNNNNNNNNNNNNNNNNNNNNNNNNNNNNNNNNNNNNNNNNNNNNNNNNNNNNNNNNNNNNNNNNNNNNNNNNNNNNNNNGUAGUUCAACUUCUAGUUGGAAUAAGAUGAGCAGUUCAGGUAUCAUAGUUAAAGAAUUCAUUUCAAUAGUCGAAAAAGACAUGGUAUUAGCAUCUGUCUCGACAAACAAAAAGUUACCUGAAGAACAUGUAUCAAGGGAGAGUGAGGAAUCUGUACAAACUAGUGAUAGUUUUUGCAGAGCUAAAGAGAAAGAUCAAAAUGCAGCAAGGGAGCAUCAAGAAUUAAGAUCAAAAUCGGUAAAAAAUGACGCAAAAGGGAUUAAGUCGUCUCCUAAUACCGACUUGCAUCUAAUAAAAUUAAUACCUAAUGUGAUAUCAUAAAAUUACAGCAACCCCCCAUAAAAAAUAAAUCAAAACAACCCCCCAUUCAAAACAAAACCCAAAACAAAAAUCAAAACAACACACUCAUAUAUACAAUCAAAGUAUCAAAGCAAAAAACUAAAUAUUGAAAAACUAAAACAAAUAUUGAAAAACUAAAUCAAAGUAUCAAAAGCAUAAUUCAUUCAUAUACAAAUAUUGAAAAACUAAAACAAAAAACCUAAAUCAAAGUAUCAAAGCAUUCAUAUAAAAAUCUAAAUCAAAAAACUAAAAAAAAUAUUGAAAUAUAUAAAUAUAUAAAUCUCACCAAAGUAUGAAAGGAGCAACUACGAACGGAAGGAAGAACGGGCACCACCGGAGGCGAGACCGUAGGCGAGACCGGAGGCGAGACCGGAGGCGAGAACGGGGGCAGCAGGGACGCACGGCGAAGGAAUCGGCAGCAGGAGACGGUCGGCGGAAUCACCAAGGAGAGAAAAAGACGCGUCUGUCUGGAUUUGGGGUUUUUAAUAAACCCCAAAACUUACAUGGCGGAUUUCCGCCAUGUAAGUACACUUAAGUGCCGCCAGCACUUAAGUGAAAGUCCGCCCAAUCGAAAUUUGGGCGGGCUUUUUUCCGCCCGAGUCCCCGAAAACUUAAGAUGGCGGAUUUCCGCCAUCUUAAGUCAAUUUAAUCGGGUAAUCGGGUUAUCAUUUGGGGGAGAUUCGAAAUUUUGGGCGGGAUAGUUUAGAUGGCGGAUUUCCGCCAUCUAAACACCGCCAUCGAAAAAAAAUUCGAACCGCCGUCGAGCCAAAACGUUUCCUCGGCGGACUGAAAGAAUAGAUGGCGGAAAUCCGCCAUCUAAACUAUUGAAGUAUUGAUGGCGGAAAUCCGCCAUCUAAAGGCCGCCAUACAAGGUCCUUUUUUUUGUAGUGAU
rnacentral:lncRNA from 1 species